AUGGUGGAUGUUGGAGACCUUGCACUCCUCUACCUUCCAUUUGAGGAUGCCCCACAGAUGCUCAAUAGGGUUUAGGUCAGGAGAUAUGCUUGGCCAGUCUAUCAGCUUUACCCUCAGCUUCUUUAGCAAGGCAGUGGCCAUCUUGGAGGUGUGUUUAGGGUUGUUUUCAUCUCUGCUUCAGUAUGUCACAGUCAGGGCUUGAAAUUAACACCCAACAACGCACCAAAUGCGGGUGAAUUUUGCAAUUGGCGGGUAAAACUGUCAAUCUAUCUGCCAGAUUGGCAGGUAGAUUUUAAAAAAAUCGUAAAAUUAGAAGCAAUUAAGGACCACGAGUCAUCAAAAAGACACCUACACACAAUAAGUUGCAAAAUAUCAAAGACUGCGGUUCCGGAGGAGACCGCAGAGGUCAAGGCACUGACGUCCAUGAAAGCAGCGCAGUUUGAGAAGAUGCGACUCCUGUUUUCGUAACGUUCACGCGAUCGGCAACACUGUAAAAAAUUCAACUCACAAAAAGUUAGACUAAUGAUUAUCUUUUAGUUAACUGGACAAAUAAAUGCAAAAAAGUUGGCUUAACCAGUGAAAAGAAGUUGGUUCAACAACCGUUGGACUAACCUAUUAUUACUUGUAAAUUCGAUUAAUAAAUGCAAGUUAACAACCAAAGAAGUUGGGUUGGAGGUUGGAGCAUGCGCAUUGUAACGAUCACGAGGUUGGCGCAUGUGUAAUGAAGCUCGCGCCAACGGACAAAAUCAGACUGCUGGACGGAGACAUUUUAGCAUCUUCGUGCGAGACUAAUGGAUCUACUCACAGCCAACGUGUUUCUGCUCAAAGCCAUCGUUUUAUACUGAGAUCAGAGGCAAUAAACAUCUGCAAAAAAAAUUCCUGUGUCCUUCGAAGCCUGGCUAGGCUCUCACGUGUUUUGCAGACUACUCGACGGUGUCUACAAGACUGCAAUCGUCUCAUUUAAAUUAUGUAAUGAGUUCAAACGCAUCACUAGUGUGGACCUCCUCGAGACAUUCAGAGCAUCAAUACACCAGCACACUCCGCAACUCCUCAAGCUAUACAGAGCAAGAAAGGGGGCAUUUGGAACAGAAAUGGAAGAUCUUCUCAACAAGCUUGAUCAGCAGACCACAAAUAUUGUGACUCACAGAAAGCAAACCGUCCUGGAAGGUCUCCCCAUGUUUCUACGAGAAGAUUCCUCUGUACUUUUUAAAACAUGGACAAGACUCCAGAGGACAGAUAGACCAGAGGGAUGAAGGUGGGAAUCCUUAUUGUAAUUGAAGAUGAUGCCCCCCCAGCACACUGCCCAGUGUCACAAAAUUUGCUGUUGUGUUGGAGGAGGUAUUGUACUGAGAGAUGCUCCAGACUUGCAGUCUGCACUUGCAUACCUGUUUGGCCCUCUGUUUGCCUUGGACUUUGAGUACCCAAAGCAACUGAAAUACACUUUUGAGGUUAUUGAGAAAGUGUUUAUGGAGAUGGGCACUCAUUGCUCUGCUAGGGUACAGACCCUCAAAACUAAGCUAUUACUUUGAGAUGCAUUUGUGAGAUGUUUGUAUCUUACAUUUAAGAUGCAAGUAGAUAGUUUUUUUUUUUUUUGCAAUUUGCUUGCAUUUUGUUUGACUCAUUUUUGUUUAAACUGUUAACUUGAGGUUGUGAUAAACAUUGGUGCCACUGUUUCAGCACUUACAGCACAAACGUUAACUUGCACUUAUGGUAUAAAGCUGCUCAGUUGUAACAUAUUCAGUGUUUACAAUUUAAAAUGUAAAACAUUUAAAAGAUAGAACAUUUAAAGUAUUUAUGACCAGUUGAAUGUUAACACUUUGAAUGUAAAAGUACUCUUUAAAAAAAAAUAUU